UGGCUUCAGCUCAGCCAUACAUGUUCGAACCAGAGUCUGAUCCCGAAACAGAACCCGAACCAGCUUCACAACUUAGACUGGAGCAAGAUGUUUCAGAGUGGUGUACUUGUGGAAAUUGCUCGACCAUGUCCACUGAAGUUGAAAACAUCUGUUGCCAAGAAAUACAAAUGGUUGUUACACAAAUGCAACAGGUUCCUGUCCCACCUACCUGCAUGGUUUACCAUCCAGACUUGGAGCCAACCUGUUUGAACCACUACA